CCAGAGAGCCACUAGUUAAUCCAACUUGAUUAAAGCACCAGAGUGCCACAGACGAGGCAAGGCUUGGCAGCCAUGCAGGCCUUGGUUUCAAAUCUUAUCCUCUGUUGCUGGCUGUAACCUGGGGAAAUCUAAGCUUUAGUUUUCUUCUCUGCCAAAUAUCUACCUGGUAAGUGGUUGUAAGGAUGUGAGAAAAUUGCAAAGAAGCACUUAGGUCAGGGCAAGGUAGACGGUAGGUACAUAAUGAGAUAAACUUGAAAUACAGAGUCUAAAUCAUUAUGAUUUCAACUGUACUGCAGCCACAAAGCACCAGUGAGAACGUUAUUAAAAUCAGGGGUGAACAUACUUAAUACACCUGAUAGGAGUUACGGCCUGAACGUUUAUGUCUCCCUAAAUAGCUGAAGACCUAACUGCAGCAUGUCUGUAUUUGGAGAUGGGGCCUCUACAGAAGUCAUUAAGGUUACAUGGGUCCUGAGGGUGGGGCCCUCAUCCAGCAGGAUUCGUCCUUCUGAGAAGAGACGCCAAGGGCUCGCCUGCUCUCCCCCGCGCCUGCAUCAGAGAAGGGGGCCAUCAGCAAGCCAAGGAGAGCCCUCCCCAGAAAUCACACGGACCAGCACCUUGAUCUGGGACUUCCAGAAAAGACAACUGUGAAAAGACAAGUUUCUGUUGUUUAAACCACCCAAUCUGAAGUAUUUUGUUAUGGCAGUCCUGGGCAGACUAAUACAAUAUGCAACACAUUUACAAUAAAUACAAUAAACUUACAAAUGUGGAA
rnacentral:sRNA from 1 species